ACUCCUACGGGAGGCAGCAGUGGGGAAUAUUGCACAAUGGGGGAAACCCUGAUGCAGCCAUGCCGCGUGUGUGAAGAAGGCCUUGGGUUGUAAAGCACUUUCAGUAGGGAGGAAGGUAGUGUAGUUAACACCUGCACUAUUUGACGUUACCUACAGAAGAAGCACCGGCUAACUCCGUGCCAGCAGCCGCGGUAAGUACGGAGGGUGCGAGCGUUAAUCGGAAUUACUGGGCGUAAAGCGCAUGCAGGCGGCCUGUUAAGUCAGAUGUGAAACGCCCGGGGUCUUAACCUCGGAAUUGCAUUUGAAACUGGCAGGCUAGAGUCUUGGUAGAGGGGUUAGAAUUUCAGGUGUAGCGGUGAAAUGCGUAGAGAUCUGAAGGAAUACCGAGUGGCGAACGGCGGCCCCCUAGGACAAAAGCUGACGCUCAGAUGCGAAAGCGUGGGAGCAAACAGGAUU
rnacentral:rRNA from 1 species